AUGCACGCUGGCGGCGUGCCUCAUCCAUGCAAGUCGAGCGAACGGACGAGAAGCUUGCUUCUCUGAUGUUAGCGGCGGACGGGUGAGUAACACGUGGAUAACCUACCUAUAAGACUGGGAUAACUUCGGGAAACCGGAGCUAAUACCGGAUAAUAUUUUGAACCGCAUGGUUCAAAAGUAAAAGACGGUCUUGCUGUCACUUAUAGAUGGAUCCGCGCUGCAUUAGCUAGUUGGUAAGGUAACGGCUUACCAAGGCAACGAUGCAUAGCCGACCUGAGAGGGUGAUCGGCCACACUGGAACUGAGACACGGUCCAGACUACUACGGGAGGCAGCAGUAGGGAAUCUUCCGCAAUGGGCGAAAGCCUGACGGAGCAACGCCGCGUGAGUGAUGAAGGUCUUCGGAUCGUAAAACUCUGUUAUUAGGGAAGAACAUAUGUGUAAGUAACUGUGCACAUCUUGACGGUACCUAAUCAGAAAGCCACGGCUAACUACGUG
rnacentral:rRNA from 1 species